AUUGUGCUGCUAAUUCUAAAUGGAACAUGCCCUCUGAUGGUGUCCUGGCUCUGUGGCCUUGUGCUUCCCUUUGUUUUUCAGGAGAAGACCAGUGCUCUGUCUCUCAGUAACGUGGCUGGAGUCUUCUACAUCCUGGUUGGAGGUCUGGGUCUGGCCAUGAUGGUAGCGCUGGUGGAGUUCUGCUACAAAAGUCGUGCAGAGGCAAAAAAAUGAAGAUGAAGUUCACAGAUGCCAUGCGCUCCAAAGCCCGUCUGUCCAUCACAGGAUCGACCAGUGAGAACGGCCGCGUCCCCGUGGCGUACCUCCGCCCAGGAUUACCCAUGAGCCUCAGCAUGACGGACCUGUCCUGACCACACUCCAGCCAGUGCCUUACAGCCAACUGACCACACCCCCUGUCCCCUCCCAUAACCAAUGGAAAUGCUCGCUCCCUUUGUCACAGACCGACACCGCCCCCUCUGGGUGACCCCCGCCCCCUGUUCUACGUCCAGUCGUCUGUUGGAGGUCUGCGGAGCCGCUGGUCUGGACAGACUGGACAGACGUGGCCCCCCCCACUUGGCUGUCAGGCUUCAAUCAGACCAGUCCAUGAAGGAUGGAAGCUGUCGACCAACCCCCAGACUCAGACUGGUCCACCACACAUCCAU